rnacentral:rRNA from 1 species
GACCGAACCGACUUACGUUGAAAAGUGAGCGGAUGAACUGAGGGUAGCGGAGAAAUUCCAAUCGAACCUGGAGAUAGCUGGUUCUCUCCGAAAUAGCUUUAGGGCUAGCCUCAAGUGAUGAUUAUUGGAGGUAGAGCACUGUUUGGACGAGGGGCCCCUCUCGGGUUACCGAAUUCAGACAAACUCCGAAUGCCAAUUAAUUUAACUUGGGAGUCAGAACAUGGGUGAUAAGGUCCGUGUUCGAAAGGGAAACAGCCCAGACCACCAGCUAAGGUCCCAAAAUAUAUGUUAAGUGGAAAAGGAUGUGGCGUUGCCCAGACAACUAGGAUGUUGGCUUAGAAGCAGCCAUCAUUUAAAGAGUGCGUAAUAGCUCACUAGUCGAGUGACACUGCGCCGAAAAUGUACCGGGGCUAAACAUAUUACCGAAGCUGUGGAUUGUCCUUUGGACAAUGGUAGGAGAGCGUUCUAAGGGCGUUGAAGCAUGAUCGUAAGGACAUGUGGAGCGCUUAGAAGUGAGAAUGCCGGUGUGAGUAGCGAAAGACGGGUGAGAAUCCCGUCCACCGAUUGACUAAGGUUUCCAGAGGAAGGCUCGUCCGCUCUGGGUUAGUCGGGUCCUAAGCUGAGGCCGACAGGCGUAGGCGAUGGAUAACAGGUUGAUAUUCCUGUACCACCUAUAAUCGUUUUAAUCGAUGGGGGGACGCAGUAGGAUAGGCGAAGCGUGCGAUUGGAUUGCACGUCUAAGCAGUAAGGCUGAGUAUUAGGCAAAUCCGGUACUCAUUAAGGCUGAGCUGUGAUGGGGAGAAGACAUUGUGUCUUCGAGUCGUUGAUUUCACACUGCCGAGAAAAGCCUCUAGAUAGAAAAUAGGUGCCCGUACCGCAAACCGACACAGGUAGUCAAGAUGAGAAUUCUAAGGUGAGCGAGCGAACUCUCGUUAAGGAACUCGGCAAAAUGACCCCGUAACUUCGGGAGAAGGGGUGCUCUUUAGGGUUAACGCCCAGAAGAGCCGCAGUGAAUAGGCCCAAGCGACUGUUUAUCAAAAACACAGGUCUCUGCUAAACCGUAAGGUGAUGUAUAGGGGCUGACGCCUGCCCGGUGCUGGAAGGUUAAGAGGAGUGGUUAGCUUCUGCGAAGCUACGAAUCGAAGCCCCAGUAAACGGCGGCCGUAACUAUAACGGUCCUAAGGUAGCGAAAUUCCUUGUCGGGUAAGUUCCGACCCGCACGAAAGGCGUAACGAUUUGGGCACUGUCUCAACGAGAGACUCGGUGAAAUCAUAGUACCUGUGAAGAUGCAGGUUACCCGCGACAGGACGGAAAGACCCCGUGGAGCUUUACUGUAGCCUGAUAUUGAAAUUCGGCACAGCUUGUACAGGAUAGGUAGGAGCCUUUGAAACGUGAGCGCUAGCUUACGUGGAGGCGCUGGUGGGAUACUACCCUAGCUG